UCAUCAAUGCCCUUAAUUCUUGGCUCACACGUGCUACAAUGGUUGGUACAGAGGGAAGCUAUAUAGUGAUAUAAUGCAAAACUCGAAAGCCAUUCCCAGUUCGGAUUGUAGGCUGCAACUCGCCUACAUGAAGUCGGAGUUGCUAGUAAUGGCGGAUCAGAAUGUCGCGGUGAAUGCGUUCCCGGGUCUUGUACACACCGCCCGUCACACCAUGGGAGUUGAUAAUACCCGAAGCCUGUGACCUCAUUGAGGAGCAGUCGAAGGUAGGAUUGAUGACUGGGGUGAAGUCGUAACAAGGUAGCCGUAUCGGAA
rnacentral:rRNA from 1 species